GAAAAGUUAGUUUAAAAAAAACAUUAUUUUGUCAAAAUAAAAAUAUAUAAUUUAUACUUUUCU
rnacentral:tRNA from 1 species